rnacentral:misc_RNA from 1 species
GGUAGUACCACGACGCCAGCCGAGCCUCCGUUCACCUGCUCAAUUUGGUAAACAACAUCAACCAACUUUACCCAAGCAAACCAACACUACCCAAGAAAAACAUUAAAAUUGAGAUUCCAGCAUACACAAGAAUAUACAUUGCAACUUUAAACGUAUUAACACUAAGAUCAGAUGAAAACGUAUUAGAAUUAUUAAUGGCACUACAAAACACCAAC